GAUGAACGCUGGCGGCGUGCCUAAUACAUGCAAGUCGAGCGAACGGACGAGAAGCUUGCUUCUCUGAUGUUAGCGGCGGACGGGUGAGUAACACGUGGAUAACCUACCUAUAAGACUGGGAUAACUUCGGGAAACCGGAGCUAAUACCGGAUGAUAUUUUGAACCGCAUGGUUCAAAAGUGAAAGACGGUGUUGCUGUCACUUAUAGAUGGAUCCGCGCUGCAUUAGCUAGUUGGUAAGGUAACGGCUUACCAAGGCAACGAUGCAUAGCCGACCUGAGAGGCUGAUCGGCCACCCUGGAACUGAGACACGGUCCAGGCUCCUACGGGAGGCAGCAGUCGGGAAUCUGCCGCAAUGGGCGAAAGCCUGACGGAGCAACGCCGCGUGAGUGAUGAAGGUCUUCGGAUCGUAAAACUCUGUUAUUAGGGAAGAACAUAUGUGUAAGUAACUGUGCACAUCUUGACGGUACCUAAUCAGAAAGCCCCGGCUAACUACGUG
rnacentral:rRNA from 1 species